CCUACGGGAGGCAGCAGUGGGGAAUAUUGCACAAUGGGGGAAACCCUGAUGCAGCGACGCCGCGUGAGUGAAGAAGGAAUUCGGUAUGUAAAGCUCCAUUAGCAGGGAAGUAAAUGACGGUACCUGAGUAAGAAGCCCCGUCUAACUACGUGCCAGCAGCCGCGGUAAUACGUAGGGGGCCAGCGUUAUCCGGAUUUACUGGGUGUAAAGGGAGCGUAGACGGCAGUGCAAGUCUGGAGUGAAAGGCGGGGGCUCAACCUCCGGACUGCUGUGGAAACUGUACGGCUGGAGUGCAGGAGAGGUAAGUGGAAUUCGUGGUGUAGCGGUGAAAUGCGUAGAUAUUAGGAAGAACACCAGUGGCGAAGGCAGCUUACUGGACUGUAACUGACGUUGAGGCUCGAAAGCGUGGGGAGCAAACAGGAUUAGAUACCCUUGUAGUC
rnacentral:rRNA from 1 species